GCAUUCCCUCCAGAAUGCCAGUCAAUUCCUAUUUCAUAAACAUCCCUGUAUCUAACCCAUUCUCUCCAAAUCUACUGCAUAUAACCUACAACAGACCACCACUUUUCUAGCCUGAGAAACAGCCUUCCACCUGGCUUCUGUGCCUCCAGAUCUUAUGCCUUCCUAAUUUGUUCUCCAAACUGAUACUUCUCAAAUGCCAAUCUGAUCAUUAUUUUCUGCUUAAAACCUUCAGUGGCUUCCCAUUGCCUUUGACAAAAUAGCCAAACUUCUUGGUCUGGCUCCUCUCGGCCAAUCACGAACCCAUCUGCAGUUCAUGUUCCAAAAAUGAAACACCCUAGAACAAUGACGUCCACCAUUUCUUUCCGGGGUCAAGAGAAGAGCUUAGAAGACACAUUCUAGGAGAUGAUGCCCUCAUUCCUUUAGGGAGGCAGACAAUCGGAUGAUAACUAAUUAGCAUACAUGUACUGGUAAAGUCAACACGUGACCUGGUGAGCUGGCACCAAGAUGAGCUGGUGAGCUGGCACCACGAGGCCUGUGGUGCCUUACACAUGAACAUGCAGCCUGACAGGAGCUGCAGUCUUAGGUAUGACGUGAGAAGGAUUGCCCCCUUCUGGCUGUGAUUCUGAUUGUCCCUGAGUUUUUCUGUUCCCUAGCAUGAUUAACUCACUGGGACAUCUUUAUUAGAGCUGGAUCCAUGGUUACAGUUUAUAAAGCAAUGAGAACAAAUUUGAAAUCUUAAUAAUGUCCAUUCCAGGAAAAAAUUAACCACUUUAAGAAUUGGAGGGGGAGGAAUGUAAUUUUCUACUUCAUUGCAUGGGUUUGGAGUAUAGCUGAGAGCUAUUUGGUUUGUGGAAGUUAUUUCAGGAUGAUUCGACGAUGAGGCAGCCUGGCUGAGGCUCUGGAGAGCUGGUUUAAAGAGGAAAACAAAAUGAAAAAAGAAAAAUUAUUUUUACAUAACCUUUUUUAAAAUGGGGAUUUUAAAACAACAAAGUUUUGGGGUGUUUUUUUUUUAGUUUGUUUUAGUUUGCCUGGUUUUAGUUUACCUAUUCCUUUGAGAAGCUGUAGAAAGACUUUUAUCCUGGAGAGGCUCAAAUGCAAAGCUAGAUCAAAUUUUCUAUAAUUUCGAGGUAUCUGUGGAGUCUUUGGAGCGGUUUUAUAAAUUCGCAGGACUCAUGAGCUUCAGAACCUCUGUCUGGGAGUUCAGUGAGAAAUGAAAAGAUGGAGUCUAUUUGGGGAGGAUCAUAAACACUUUUUUCUUUCAAAGAUAGGGUCUUGUUCUGUUGCCCAGGCUGGAGUGCAGUGGCAUGAUCAUAAUUCACUGUAGCCUCGACCUCCUGAGCUCCAGCAAUUCUCCUGCCUCAACCUCCCACGCAGUAAGGAUUACAGGCGUGCACCACCAUGCCUAGCUAAUUAUUUUUAAUUUUUUUGUAGAGAUAGGGUCUCACUGUGUUGCCCAGGCUGGUCUCAAACUCCUGGGCUCAAGUGGUCCUCCUGCCUCGGCCUCCCAAGCUGCUGGGAUUACAGGCAUGAGCCACUGUGCCUGGCCCAAAAACACUUUUUAAGAGUAAAGCAGGCCGGGCGCGGUGGCUCAAGCCUGUAAUCCCAGCACUUUGGGAGGCCGAGACGGGCGGAUCAGGAGGUCAGGAGAUCGAGACCAUCCUGGCUAACACGGUGAAACCCCGUCUCUACUAAAAAAUACAAAAAACUAGCCGGGCGAGGUGGCGAGCAACUGUAGUCCCAGCUACUCGGGAGGCUGAGGCAGGAGAAUGGCGUAAACCCGGAGGCGGAGCUUGCAGUGAGCCGAGAUCGCCACUGCACUCCAGCCUGGGUGACAGAGCCAGACUCCGUCUCAAAAAAAAAAAAAAAAAA
rnacentral:lncRNA from 1 species